rnacentral:snRNA from 1 species
GGAUGUGAGGGCGAUCUGGCUGCGACAUCUGUCACCCCAUUGAUCGCCAGGGUUGAUUCGGCUGACCUGGCAGGCUAGGUGGGUGUCCCCUUCCUCCCUCACCACUCCAUGUGUGUCCCUCCUGAAGCUGCGCGCUCGGUUGAGGAGGACGACCGUCCCUGAUAGAGGAGGACCGUUCUUCGGUCAAGGGUACACGAGUAGCUGCGCUCCCCUGUUAGAACCUCCAAACAAGCUCUCAAGGUCUAUUUAUAAUAGUGAAAAGUUAAAUAACUUGAAUUAGCUUUACCAAGAGAAAAACUAAUU